rnacentral:rRNA from 1 species
CAGCCCUAAACGAUGCGCGUUAGGUGUAUCGGUGACCACGAGUCACCGAGGUGCCGAAGGGAAACCGUGAAACGUGCCGCCUGGGAGUACGGUCGCAAGGCUGAAACUUAAAGGAAUUGGCGGGGGAGCACAACAACGGGUGGAGCUUGCGGUUUAAUUGGAUUCAACGCCGGAAAUCUUACCGGGACCGACAGCAACAUGAAGGCCAAGCUGAAGACUUUGCCGGAUUAGCUGAGAGGAGGUGCAUGGCGUAGUCGUGU